UGUAUGUGUGUGUGUGUGCGUGCGUGUGUGUGUGUCAGCAGUGUCUCACUUCAACACACCCUAAGAGUCCUUGUCUAGAGACCUUGAGUGCUAAAAAGCAUGAGGGCCCCUGUUCUGGGAGAGAGAAAGGCAGAAUAAAAUAAUAAAUAAAAAAAAAUCCCAGAACAGAACGAUAAAGAAAGUUUUUUUCUCCCACCAGCAGGAACGAGGUGUCCUGAACAUUUCCCUUCUACUCUUUGCUUCUGACGUCCGCUGCAUGAGUCUUAGAGGCGAUAGCAACUCCACCGGGUUCACUGAUAAACAGGAGGAUUUGGGCGGAACAGACGCUGAAGGUUGCGCACAGUGUAGCCAGGCGUGAUGUUUGGGUUUUUUUUUUUUUUUUCUUCUUCCUCCAGAGACAUUUGUUGCAUCCACAGGUGCGUUGCCAUGGCUGGAAACCAAGGAGGGAGGAGAAGCGCCGCGCGAGCACAGACAACAGCUACUCUGUCUUUCUCAAACAUCUUCAAGGUCCCCGUGGAGGGAUAAAUGACCGACGGGAGGUGCUCACCCAGGAGACGCUCAUCUGGAGCUGCACGGGCCUCCGUCGUGCAGCGGCCGCCGGGCAACGCUCGCUGUUCCUUUUUCCUAUGCAUAUACCUCUUUGAGAUGUAACUUUAAAGAGGCAUGGGGCAUGGGAAAAUGGGGCUGCAGAGGUAUUCCACCAGGCCGACGGCCUCUUCCUCAUCCUCCGUGCUGCACAGCUGACUUCAGAGCGGCAGAGUUUGACCGAGGAAGCCCACAAACUGUGUCAAACUGAGCGCAGGUGAUUUUAUGUGGUCAUAUUCAUUCGUGGUGACAUUCUGUGUGUAGUGUGGCGACUUCUGUUUUCUGAUUAAAGAUGUGUUGACUUUAACAUACCGGAUGGUGGAUUCUGACUUGAAUUUAAGGAGUUUUUAACCUCAGUAUGGUUUUACAUUAGUACUGUAGUUGUAAUUGUGACUCUGAGUGGCCAUGAUGCGUUUUACAGUGUUGCAGCUUUACCUACAAAGAAACAGGAGAUUUUAAUCGAUUUGAUCAUGAGUUCUCAUUUAUGUGUUUUUAAUCAAAGCUUUCCCAAAAUUUAAAAAAGUUGUCACCAUAAAUUAACCUAUAAUGUAACAUAAUCUGAAGCCACACAGGCAUUUGUAAUAACUUUCAUACAUUUAAAUUGUUGUUUUAUAAUUAUAAUUAUAUUUAAUGUAGAAGUCACAAACAGUGUUCUAGAGUAUCUUGAGUACUUCAAACCAUUCAUUAAAUAUUCAUAAAACUUCAA